AUAAGUGAAAAGAAAAUGUGUUUAUAUAAUUACGAGUUAAUUUCGCGAUUAUUAAUUGCCGAGGUGUCGAUAUAAUGAGAAUCAAUCUCACCUGUGCGCGUACAUUAAAAUAUCAUUAAUAAUAUUUCGGCUGGCAUAUGUUAAUUAAAACACAACUGCGAAAGUAAUCAUGAAAAUUGUGGAAUUAUUGUAAAAAUUGAGGAGAAGGGAUUUUGAAAUACUUUAAACUAUGCUUCCUUGGUGUUGGGUAAUUUUUUGGAUUAAAAUUAAAGUAAAAAUGUAUUUGAUAAAUGUUUUCUUUUUCAAAUAUGUGACAGUUGAAUAAUUAUUGGCAAGUUCUUAUGUCUGAUCAGUAAAAGUAUAAAAAAAAAUUUGUCUAAAAUUCGAAUACGAGAGAAAUUAUACGUGGAACGUAAAUCUAGUGAAAGAGCCGCGGAUUAUAGAGGUCUAAGUAGUCUAAGUCUGAUCUUGUCAGACGUAAGACGAUGCACUCGAAAACUUCUUCCGACGGAAGCCGUUCGAAACGACGCUCAAUUUCGAAAUAGACUAAAAUUUCAAACCAAUACUAAACUACAAUUAACACCAAAAUACACAAGUGUUAAUUAAAAAUAAUAAUACAUCCUUAACAAACGGUUAUACAAUCGAAGCACUAAUGUGUAUAAUUAAAAGUAAUAAACAGCACUUGAGAACCGUGGAAAGAAUAAAAACACACUAUUUAACAUAAAAAACAAUGAUUUAAACCUCCCAAUAAUUCACCGUUUAAUUUUACCAAAUCGUUCAAAAUCAAUCACGAAUAAUAACAAUGAAAAACAGAAAAUAAAUUUGUCCAAUUUUUCACUGAUUUUCACAAACAAAAGAACGACCAUCCGAAUAAUCAACCGCGAUCGACGUAAAACUCACGGAACGAUCUUCGUAAUCGCGAGAGCUCGAUUGAGUACGAAAAAUUAAUCACUUCCGGGAUAAGUACAAAGGUCCCCUGAUCGUAGCGUCGUCCCUAUGUAACUGAGGGUUCGAAAAACGAGUGUCCAGCUUCGAUCGUGAAUCCGGUAUAACCAGUUUUCUCGAUCCGAGCGAAGGGUUGAAAAUAAAAAAGAAAGAAAAUGAGAGAUGUCGAAGGUGCAGGAAGGGUUACUCGUGGGACUCGUAGCCUUGGCGUUGUUCUGUUAUUGAAACACCGCGUGGCAGUUAGCGAGCCGAUCGAUGACCGCGUAUAAACAGCUAAUAAUCAAACGAAUCGUGUCAUAAACAAUCCCACGGUGGGGGUCGCGUAGUGGUGGUAAAAGUAUAAAUGAGUUUCGAUCGGGAGUGGGGUGCGGAUGCCACGGCUGGUGGGGUGAUCGGUUCGAAAAGCUCGGCUUGCGUGAAAAUUUCUUUCGAACGUCGAACUGUUAGGGGGAUUAUCCAAACUUCCGUGGAGGUGUGCAGGAAUAAUAGGCGACAGCUUAGGAAAGGAAACGAUAAACCGGUUACGAUUGAUGGAUCUCGAAUCGGAGGUGUAUUCAGGAACGCUUGCCGAUACGUAACUUCUGUAUCAUCGGAUGCACGCAGAUUUUGCGUAGUUUGCAUUGAAACGUCGCCCACAGUGGAAUGUGCAUUCGAUCAAGCCCGCUCCGCUCCUUUCAAAGGCUCUCCCGUAGUUUCGCGUUCAAUGCUUUCAUUGGGAUUUGUUCUUGUUUCUAUUAAAUCGUAGAGUCGAUUGCGCCCGCGAUUCAACGAGGAAGAUAAUUGCUCUACUUGCUUCGUACGCAUCUUAUUCUGUGACAAGAAGUACAAUGGAACUUGUUUCAUCUUUUCAAAUUUUUACAAAUCUUUAUAUUUCAAUUCGUUCGUUCAUUAAAGAUUUUCGAACACUAUGAUUCGUUGAAGAAAAUAGUAAAGUUCGAAAUUUGAAAAUUCAAAGGUUCGAUGUUAAAUCAAAGUUAAAAUCGUCAGCACCGGUAUAAAUUCUCUAGCUACGUAGAUCACAGGCGGUAUUUCAUGUUCGUCCGUCAUUCGCCGUCAGUUUAAUCUUCCGACAUUGCAUGACAACGUUUCCAUCAGACACAGCACUGUGUUCUUUCAAAAAUUCGCGAAAGUAGCUAAUACCGCGGUAGAUCCGUUUCAACCCCUAUCACCCCUUCCAAUUUCCAGCUUACCCAAAAGUUUCACCGUUGAAAAUCUCACGGAUGCCCGAAAACCGAAGUCGAAAAGCGUUUUUCUAAAACCGUCUACCCCGAAGCGACUAAAGUCGAUCCGAAAGAAACAAGGGCGAAAGUGAUCUUGGCGUUCGCGUCAUAGCGGCACAAUGCCGGAAUAGGAUACGUACAGGUCGAAGAUCGAUGUUCGUAAAAAAGUAGAAAAAAAGGACAACACAGUGACAACAAUCUCCAUAUAUACAUGUAGCAGCCGUGAAAAAGCACGAGGUGAUUCCCGUUGUUGCUGUCUCCCGUUGGUGGGAGUCUGACCGGUCAGGGUGGGGGAUAUGUGUGUUCCGAGGGUGAACGGUAUGAUAACGUCGAACAGGUCGACACGCGAUGUAUCGGUCGAGGAAAGAGAGGAAAAAAAAAAAGGGAUAACAGGGGGUGGGGUAGGGUGGAAGGAUUGAAGGUUGCCCCCGAAAGAAUCGAAAGUCCCAUCGAGUCAGAGAGAACGCGAUCGAGGGAAGAAGAGAAAGAGUAGAAGGAGAGAGGAUCGAAGGGGUUGGGGUUUAGGGGAUGAAUCGUGGUUGCUUGCAAGGGCUAGUACAUAGAAAAGAGAGGGAGAGAAGAAGGGUAAGGUUCGUAGGGAAGAGAGAAGGGGAUAGUGGUAGAAUAAGGUGGGGUGGAAGGAAAAGUCUGGCUAGGUGGUAGGGGUUGAAGGCGAGGGUGAGUGGGUUAACUGCAAAACCCGAUCGUCCGUGUUUUUAUCUUAAGACGACUCUGCGACUAGAAGCCGCGUAGGAGACGAGAAGAAGGGGUAUUCCGGUUGAAUUCUGGAAGGGGUUGUUCUCGACCUCGGCGUUCGGCUGGAGGGGUAGAAAACGACAGCGGUGGCGGUGGCGGCGACGGCGGUGUGCGUCGCGGAGUGUAGGGGUUUUCUGGUGGUGGCAGCGUUGAACCGUCUGGGGGUGGGCGAGAGGGGGAUAACAGUCUCGCAUCUACGGAAGAAAUAGUGGGGAUAAGACUACCCUCGGAGGCAGGAGUGCGUUUGCGCCGCCGCCGUGGAGGUGGCAUCGGGUGCUAAGGGUUGCUUAUUCGCCCCAGUCCCUGGCGGCGGAGGGGUGGUCUCUCUCUCGCCCGUUCACGACGGGGGUGGGGAACCCCUCGUCCCCGACUGCAGGGUUAGGGUGGUCUUUAGGUCUGUCAGUAGCAAAGCGGCGGCCUCAUCAUACGGAGCUGCCGGGCUGACCAGCCAGGCCGAAAUCACUUAAGACGCGUACACCUUGUAAUAUAACCACCGUAGAGGCGCGCGCGCGCUCCCGCGUCGCCCGCACCUACACUAACUACAUACGUAUAUAUAUACAUAUACAUACAAUACAUACGCGCGAUCAGCCAAACGUACAUACAAGACUAUACAUAGAAACGCGCGCACGCGGCCAAUUGUAUAUGUAUAUAUCUAUAUAAAUAUAAACUCAGUACACGCAGCCAACGCUGCAACUCACAUACGCACAACUGCCGAACCGCCAUCCAGGUCAAUCCACAUCACGCUUCUCUCCACACACACACACAGACAGAGUGUUGUGCCGAAACACGCGGACACUGGUUUUAAUCGCGGUAUAGAACCGCGCAACCCGUGAGAGGACAAGACGCGCGGCUACCGGUGCUUUUAUAAUACGUGCGCCCUAAGGACACGAAGGAGCAUACCAAGUUGAUGCACCAGGUGCGUGUGCGUGUGUGAUCGGUUGAAAACUCGCUGGUGGUGGUCGUUGGUACGCAGAAGGACGGUGAUUCUUGUCAGUGGUGGACGCGUGUACCUAGAGACAGGGACAAAGGGAAUCUAUGUGCCGUCGUGGUGGUCAUCGUCGUCGUGGCCGUCCUUGUUGCCGGCUAACGUGACGAUGAAACGUUCCUGGAUUAUUUUACGACCGUAACGUUAAUGGCCACUGUUCAGUUCGUUAAUUAUCGUCGAUGAAUGAUCCUCGUGAUCGUAUAGAACAAAGAUGACCGGACAGUACCGCGUAGAUCGAGUACAGUGUAGAAGGACAUUGUGAGACUGGCGGCCGGUAGAAGGCAGUAGAUCGCACUGCUUCUUCCUCGCGUCGGUCCAGUGCUUCGUCAACCUUCGACUGAGACUGUUGUGUUCCUACGUAACCUCCCUCUAUCCUACACUCGACUCGAUCCCCCGACUGUUUAAUAACAAAUUAUCGUGUUAUUACCGUAUCGUGACUCAGUGUGGCACGUGUAUUUUUUGUCCUCCGGAUAACGUGGCUGUGUGCAGAAUAAUAAGAUUGACGAAUGACGUCGUAACAGAGAGCUGGUUGAUGCGCAGACACCGGGACACAAAAGGGGACAGCAUCUUUCACAUCGCCACGGCAACGUUCAUCACGAAUAAGAAGAAUCGCGGCAAGGAAAAUCGAGACGAGGGAGCGAGGGGC